rnacentral:rRNA from 1 species
AGAGUUUGAUCCUGGCUCAGGAUGAACGCUGGCGGCGUGCUUAACACAUGCAAGUCGAGCGAAGCACUUAAGAAUGAUUCUUCGGAUGAAUUCUUUUGUGACUGAGCGGCGGACGGGUGAGUAACGCGUGGGUAACCUGCCUCAUACAGGGGGAUAACAGUUAGAAAUGGCUGCUAAUACCGCAUAAGACCACGGUACCGCAUGGUACAGUGGUAAAAACUCCGGUGGUAUGAGAUGGACCCGCGUCUGAUUAGGUAGUUGGUGAGGUAACGGCCCACCAAGCCGACGAUCAGUAGCCGACCUGAGAGGGUGACCGGCCACAUUGGGACUGAGACACGGCCCAGACUCCUACGGGAGGCAGCAGUGGGGAAUAUUGCACAAUGGGCGAAAGCCUGAUGCAGCGACGCCGCGUGAAGGAUGAAGUAUUUCGGUAUGUAAACUUCUAUCAGCAGGGAAGAAAAUGACGGUACCUGACUAAGAAGCCCCGGCUAACUACGUGCCAGCAGCCGCGGU